UACGUAGGGUGCAAGCGUUGUCCGGAAUUAUUGGGCGUAAAGAGCUCGUAGGCGGUCUGUCGCGUCGGCUGUGAAAACCCGGAGCUCAACUCCGGGCCUGCAGUCGAUACGGGCAAACUGGAGUGUUGCAGGGGAGACUGGAAUUCCUGGUGUAGCGGUGAAAUGCGCAGAUAUCAGGAGGAACACCGGUGGCGAAAGCGGCGCGCUGGAUCCCUACUGACGCUGAGGCACGAAAGCCAGGGGAGCAAACGGG
rnacentral:rRNA from 1 species